rnacentral:rRNA from 1 species
UGACCACGACCCCACGUCAGGCGGGGCCACCCGCUGAGUUUAAGCAUAUCACAGGGGGGGGGGAAAAAA